AGAAUGAACGCUGGCGGCAUGCCUAACACAUGCAAGUCGAACGAGACCUUCGGGUCUAGUGGCGCACGGGUGCGUAACGCGUGGGAAUCUGCCCUUGGGUUCGGAAUAACAGUGGGAAACUACUGCUAAUACCGGAUAAUGACGUAAGUCCAAAGAUUUAUCGCCCAGGGAUGAGCCCGCGUAAGAUUAGCUAGUUGGUGGGGUAAAGGCCUACCAAGGCGACGAUCUUUAGCUGGUCUGAGAGGAUGAUCAGCCACACUGGGACUGAGACACGGCCCAGACUCCUACGGGAGGCAGCAGUGGGGAAUAUUGGACAAUGGGCGAAAGCCUGAUCCAGCAAUGCCGCGUGAGUGAUGAAGGCCUUAGGGUUGUAAAGCUCUUUUACCCGGGAAGAUAAUGACUGUACCGGGAGAAUAGCCCCGGCUAACUCCGCGCCAGCAGCCGC
rnacentral:rRNA from 1 species